ensembl:lncRNA
GGACCAGAAAUUAGCCUUUCUGAUCGAGAAUUUCAAGCUAUGUGCCUCCCCAACCUUACAAGUACUCAAACUCAGUAUCUUUUUAGGGUAUGGUGUCUAUGGUUUUGUAUUUCCUAGGCCUGACCUGAAGAGCAGUAUGGCCCUGGGGCCCUUGUCAGAGAAUCUCUUCCCAAGUCUGAUGUAAACACAGACGUACGUGCAAGCCACAAGAGCAUGCUUCAGGUCAGAGGGGGUUGGUGGCAGGGGUGGGGGCGGGGGGUGGUAAAAGCCCAAAGAUGCAUGUGAGACAAAAGCCUUGUUGGUGUGCUUCGUUGACAGGGGUCUCUUCUCGCCUGUCUCUGGCAGUUCAGUGAUGGUUGAGUCAGACCACCUCAAAGAGUCUUUGAGUGGGGGGCUCUCUCAAAGGGUUCACAUCUGUGGUGAGAGAAGCUAAGCAGGUGGGAAGCUGAGGAUUGGGCUAUGUACCCGUGUGUCCACAGACCCUUCCUGUUCUAGUGAUGAGGUCAGCAGUCCUUGCUGGGGAUCCCCACUGCUGCACACCUGCAUUUUUUCUUUCUCUCCACCACCCUCCCUCUCCCUUCUCCUUCUCCUCCCUCUCCUGGCUAUUGGCCCUCACCCAGGUGGGAAACUGUCCUCCUUCCCCCGGACUUGCUGGUCUACCUUCUGGCUGCAGUCAGGGAACACAAGUGAGGGGCAAUGGGCAUGAGCGAGGGAUGUCAGACAGACUGGGGUUUAGGUGGUUAGGCUCUAGUCCCUGCUGAGUCCCUCAUAGAGUUUUGGACAAAGUCCCCAUUCCAAAUCUGUUUUCUUAUCUUAGCUUUAUGAAGUCCACACGUGAGUUUAAUGAAGGUUCUAGUUCUAGAAGUUUGUAACUUACUGAGACCUAAUUGGCGGGGAUACUACUACCAGUUGCAUGAUUGCCGGAUCUCUGAAUUGGCUGCUGAGCUGUUCAGGGGAAGGACCAUAGCUACUUAAAUGCUUGGAGGCCAACUGAGGAAACAGGACCAACAAAGAGAAAGGAAAAAGGUGCUCUCCCCGCAGGGCUGCUGUGGGCUCCCGUCUGGGCCCUGUGGAGGCCACUGCUCAUACGGACGUGCAUGCCCUGGACGCUCGCAGGCCAGGUGUUAUCCCAGAACCAAAGGCGGAGAGGGCCGGACUCCUACCCUCUUUCUAGCACCACCAGCAAGGAAGAUUGCUUCUUGCUCUCCUGGGAAGCCGAGUCCGAGCAGCUCCUGUAGAGGUGGAGACGGGGUCUGUGCGUGGUGCCGCCGUAAGCCAGGGAAGCUAAAGGCGUUCAUGUACUAAAAGAGAUCGAAAAGAGUAAGAGUGAUAAUGGCAAGUAGAGGGGUCUGGAGCAGCUCUGAGAUGGGUGGGAGCCCAGACAAGGAGAAUUUAGGAAGUGUUAAGUCCUCUUUGAUGCAUCUCUGUAAAUGCUAAAUACUGAAAUUCCCUUUCGUGAUGCCGAUAUUGUUUGCUGGACUGUGCGUUGGACAUCCUGCCAAGACUGAGCCUCGUGGGGCCCCGGGAUUUACUGGGAUUACACAGAAAAGUUAUUUUUGCUAUCCUGGGACCCCUCUGGCAAGCCCAGCCAGAGAUUAAGAGAUUGUGCGCAGGUAGUUUAUUGGGGAGCUGACCCUAGGGGGUAGAAGUGAGGGAGUGGGGAAAAGGAAGGGAGGAAGAGGAGCCAGUGUGGGUGUGUUAUGAAGGUCAUCACUCUACAAGUGGAGUUUAAUCCCACCCAGGACGUUCUGAGGAGCGUGCAAACAUAAUCACUCAGGGGAUUGUCCACCUGACGGUCAGCCAGAGGAGGCUUCACCCACUGUUUGAAAGUCCCAGUGGAGGCAUUCACACCCCUGUGCACGUGGGAGAAAUAAGUGGGCUCCCACUAGUGUCUGCAGCACCCUAGAAAUCCCCAAAUAGAGAAAGCAAAGGACAUGGGGCAGCUCUUGAGACAAGGGGCUAUGAAGGUGAGGCCGGCACAGGCUGCAGUUAGAAUCAGAGAUGAGGUCAAGA